rnacentral:rRNA from 1 species
CCUACGGGAGGCAGCAGUAGGGAAUAUUGCUCAAUGGGGGAAACCCUGAAGCAGCAACGCCGCGUGGAGGAUGAAGGUUUUCGGAUUGUAAACUCCUUUUGUUAGAGAAGAUAAUGACGGUAUCUAACGAAUAAGCACCGGCUAACUCCGUGCCAGCAGCCGCGGUAAUACGGAGGGUGCAAGCGUUCCUCGGAAUCACUGGGCGUAAAGAGCGCGUAGGCGGGAUAGCAAGUCAGAUGUGAAAGCCUAUGGCUUAACCAGAGAACUGCAUUUGAAACUGUGAGACUAGAGUAUGGAAGAGGUGAGUGGAAGUCUAUGUGUAGGGGUGAAAUGCGUAGAUAUAAGGAAGAAUACCAGUGGCGAAAGCGACCCUCUGGAAUGUAACUGACGCUGAGGUGCGAAAGCGUGGGUAGCAAACAGGAUUAGAUACCCCAGUAGUC